GUGGAAGGAGACCACAUCUGCAAACGGAGCAAAGGUCCCCAGAGACGGAGCAGAAGCCUCUGGGAUGCUGCAGACUCGGGGGACCAGGACUGGGGCCCAGAGAAGGCCGCAGGUGCUGGCCGUGCCCUUUAUCCUGGGCAGCCUGCCAGGGCUGCACACAGAGCACGGCUCCCGGGAGGUGGAGAUGUCUGAGUGGCGGCUCUCAUCUCAAUGUUGCCAGGUGACCUGCUGGCUGCCGGCACAAAGCAUGGUAAACACUCUUUUUUUUUUUUUUUUUUUUUUUUUGGUUACUAUUUACUCGUUCAAAAAAAUGUGUGAGUUUCUGUCAUUUGCAAGAAGUGUGCUAGCUGCCAUGAGUCAGCAGGUGGACAUAGGUGAGCAUGGCCAGACUGUGCCAGGACAUGGCGACAGACACGGGAAGGGACGGGUCCCCAGAGAGAGGUGAGAUGGUGCCAUGUGAGAGAGUUCGGAGUCGUCCUCCAGAUGUGCACAAAGGCUUGGGAGGCCCUGCUGUGUGUCAGGUGCUGCGUGAAGGUUGUGGAACAGUGGGAGGGACCUAAGGCACCUUCUCUCGAGGACCGCCUGUUCCAGGAGGCUCAUAAACGCUGCCUUGUGAGCGUAUCAUUCCUGGAGCACACCUGCCAUGCAGCAUCAUUGCAUCACAACGCCCACCAGGAGCAGAUUGCCAGGCCGCGUUCUCUGGGUGUGAACAACAACAGCAACAAACCUGUGGCUAGUUCUUCAGUCAACAAAUUGGUAUUCGAAAGGCUGUCAUCGCUAGUACGGACGUCAUCGGUGAAUGAGAAGGCAGAGCCCGCAGCCGCACCUAAUAAAAGGCCAGCAGGGAGAUACAAUCUGCUGUGAUUGUGCAAUGAUGGGACAGAGGCCGGGGGUCACUAGUCCAGGUGCAGUUUUGAGUCCUCACGCAGUCUUUAAAAUGUGAUAAGGAAUGUAACUUUGAACUCAAUAACCUUUCCACCACGCUGUGAGCUAAAGGCAAAUACAACGGGUGGCCGGCCCCUGCCAGAGACAGGCACUGCGGGCCGCCCUCUCUCCAGGCAGGGCGGGGCACCCUGAGUGCUCAGUGGGCUUCCCAGCCCUCAGUCCCCAGACAGUGAGGGUCCCCGUCCUGCUGGGUGCCCCCCACCCCAGCUCCUGAGCCACAUGGUCACGGCUGGGGAAGCACAAUCCCAACCCUCAGGAAGGGUUUGUCAUCUUGCAACUCAGGACCCCUGGGCCAAUCACAGCAGCCUCAGCCUCAGUUUCCCUCUUGUUCAUUUCCCAUGUACUCCAGGGACCUCCCGAGGGACGUUCCCUUCCCAGAUAAGGCUGAAGUAAACCCUGGCAUGCAGGUGGGGUUGGGGGGGGGGUCCUGGAGGGGACAUGCCUUGCUAAAGCCACCAAGCCCCCAGCAGUGC
rnacentral:lncRNA from 13 species